rnacentral:rRNA from 1 species
UACGUAGGGCGCAAGCGUUGUCCGGAAUCAUUGGGCGUAAAGAGCUUGUAGGCGGCCUGUCGCGUCCGCUGUGAAAUCCCGGGGCUUAACCCCGGGCGUGCAGUGGAUACGGGCUGGCUGGAGGCAGGCAGGGGAGAACGGAAUUCCCGGUGUAGCGGUGAAAUGCGCAGAUAUCGGGAGGAACACCGGUGGCGAAGGCGGUUCUCUGGGCCUGUACUGACGCUGAGGAGCGAAAGCGUGGGGAGCGAACAGG